GCCAUGAAGAAAACAGCUGAUGAAAGGGGCUAAAGCUAGCUUCAUUUCUUGCAGGUCUAGUUCUGAGUCUAGGGACAGAAGUUUUAGCUUUGGCUGGACACCCAUAGCCCUCUGUGACCUGUCAGUAUUUUUAACUUCACGAUGACUCCUAAGUGGACUGCUGUCCACUGGCCACAACUUACUGAAACUUUCUCCAUAUUCAGCAUUUAUUAAGGACUGGAGGUUCCAAGAUGUAGACAAGACCCCAGGAGCUGCAGCAGUCAUCUGCUCACACUGAAGUUCGUAGAACUAAAAGACGGAAGGAGCCUGGGAUGCUGAUGAAAUUGUGAAGCUACUGACACAAGCCCUGGACUGCCUAUCUCUGGACUCUACUGGAUGGGUCCACAUGGCAAGGAACCAAGGGUAGCCUCUGGCCAGCAACCAGAGAAGAUAAAGAUCUCCAACAACGUCUGCGUUUGGAAGAGGAUUGUUCUUCCGUAGAGUUUUCUGAUGAGGCCCCAGCCUUGGCAACAUCUUGACUGUCUCCUUGUAAAGGGACCUUGAGACAGAGGACUCAGCUCAGCCGUGCCAGACUCCUGACUCACAGAAACAGUGAGAUUAUAAAAACAAACUGUUUUAAGCCACUAAGUUUUGAGUAAUUUGUCACACAGUAGAUAAUAAACUUCCAUAGAAUCUUGAUAUUGAUCAUAUUUCUCUUUGCCUUAACAAUCUUGUGUCUGUGCCCCUACCCUGUUUUCCACAAAAAUAUCCAGAGAGACCCAACUAUUUUGCGAGUGAGGUAUUUUUCAUGAGAAUUUAGGGCAAGCAGAGACUUCAUCCUCUCUCCUCUCUUUUCCUUUCCCCUGAGCAAUGGACAAUAGCAUAUUAUUUACCUUGACCUGUGACAAACAGUUCUACCCAUAUUCAGGCCCAAGCACCUGUCAAAAACUACAGUUUCCCUAAAGGAAAACUAAUGAUUAUAGUAAAAAAGACACCUGCAUUCAUAUGUUUAUUGCAGCACUAUUCACAAUAGCAAAGUCAUGGAAUCAAUGUAAGUGUCCAGCAACAGAUUCAGAAGGUACAGAAAAUGUGGAUACAAAAAAUGUGGUGUGU
rnacentral:lncRNA from 1 species